rnacentral:tRNA from 1 species
GCCGGGAAGCUCAGUCGGUAGAGCAAGCCACUAAGC